CUAGCUACCAAUGAGGAUGGCUGUGAACGCCUUGGCUGGGCCCUCUAAGGACAGCUUGGAGUGUUUGGACUCGGCCCAGAGUAAACAGCUGUGAAGCCCUGAGCUGGGCCCAGUGAGGGUGGCUAUGGAAACCUGGGCUGGGCCAGUGAGGACAGCUGUGAACACCUGGCCUGGGUCCAACGAGAACAGCUGAGAACACUUGGGCUAAGCCAAUAAGGACAGCUGUGGCACCGGGGACGAUUGCCCUGAAGACAGCUGUUAACAUCGUGGCUGGUCGCCUUGAGCACAGCUAUGAAUGUCUAGGCUGGGCCCAAUGAAGACAGCCGAAAACACCUGCCCUGGUUUCAGUGAGAGCCACUGUGAGCACUUGGGCCUGUCCCCAUGAGGAUGCCUAUGAACAGCUGGCUGGGCCCAAGAUGAAUGGCUCUUGACACCUAAACUCAGCCCUAGAAAGAUGCUGUGAACAACUGGGCAAUCCACAGGAUGAGACUCA
rnacentral:lncRNA from 1 species